rnacentral:lncRNA from 1 species
CAAAUGAAGGUUGCACCGAUUCGCGGAUCAAAGGAAAAUUUGGAAGAAAUUCGUAAUAACCGCUUUGUUAAAUCCGAAACGGUGUGGACCGUUUCGGCCAAAAAGGAAAUCUUAAUUCCGGGGAAAAACUGUAAUUUCUUAAUUUAGAAAUUUAAAAUAAUUGAAUAAAUUUUCUCAAAAAAUUAUAUCAAUUAAGCCCCAAAGCCCCAGCCCGGCGGGCGGCUGCGGCGCAGCCUCCACAUGGGUCACCCGAAUCCAUAAAGUCCAUAGGGCACUAAAUGGAUCAGGCCACUUUAUACUAACUCCUCCCCUUAAAAUUGUGGUGCCCAAGGGCCCAAUUUAAAGAGUCAUACUGGCUUAUAUUUCCACUAACGGCAGGUCGUUUUCCAAUGUGGGACAAACCUUUCUAUCCCCAUUUGCCCGUUGGCAUUGAAAGCUAGCUUGGAAACAUUUCUCAUUCAAAUGACUUAGUUUUUGACAAAUGAAUACACAAAUCAUCUACGCAUUUAGGAGAAAACAGGAAUCUAUCAUUGUUCAUGUUAAUGGUUGUGUACGGAACUUACUAAAAUUUUAUUCCAAAGUGUGUUCACCACACUCUCAAAAACCAAACUUCUAACAGACAAUAGUUUCUCCAUCUAAUCUAAUAGUCAGGUUAGAUUGUCCUAACUUCCCUACAAUAUUUCAUCACCCAUACUACUGUACUAUACGCAGUAUCUGACAUUUUUCUAUAUAUGGAAAAGGAACCUGCAAACAAAGUUACACACAUCAUGCCAACGCAACUGCAUUAAAAUUCCCAAAAAGUUUUUUUUUUGUUCUUAGCAAUUAGUGGGCGAACCAGAAUUUUAAUCAGGAGGCCAAAGUGUAAAAAAAAAAAAUAAGUUUUAAAGAGGGCUAAAGUGUAAAAAAAAAUCUAAAAUAAAUUUUAUAAUUUCUUGAAAGUCAGGGAGGGCCGCAGCCUCUGCUGGCCACCCCCUCGGUCCACCCUUGCUAGCAAUAGCUAUAAUUGGUCUGGGAAUAGCAAUGGCCAACAAGCAAAGACAAUAAUGGUACAAGCAUACCUAAGAACCCACUUAUAGAAUAGACAUAAAUUGGACUUGGUAAGAACAUAUCGAGUGCAAAACAGCACAUAACAACAUAUUAAGACAAGUUCAGAUAUAGAAUAAAGUUAAAUAUGACACCAUAGUUUACAUGUAAGUGAUGUGUUGUUGUGUCUUGCACUCAGCUUGUUAAGCUAGUUCUUCUCUUCCACAAUGCAAUACUACAUGUGUGAUAGCCCCACCAUUUGAUAUGGGCCUAUCGAUUAUAAAAAAUUUUCUUACUAUCACUGUAUCGACAAUGGCAGGUGUUUAUUAGAUGGGGUAUUGAUUUUUUCCUUUUCACAGAGUAUAGAUUGGACCAGUUUCUUUAAAAAAUAUUACGAACUAAAUCGAUAGAAACGAUUAUACCCACAAUUGAGACAAAACGAAACCAACAAUACUUUACAAUUCGGUUCGGAGCCGAUGCAAUAAUGUAGACUGUUCUUCUUCUUCUGUAUUUUUGACAUCCCUAACAUAUCCACUAACUUCUAAAUUCUAGGGAGUUCACCUUUAAUAAUUAUUGUGCCACUUGUUUCAAUCAUACAACCGUGUCUCGUGUCAGAUCAGCCUGACAUCAUUACUUAUGUUUGUGCCGUACCUUUUAAUUGUGUCAUUCAGGUGUGCCGGAAACCGCUACGUAAAAGUGUCGUGUUGUGUUAGUUUUUUAAAUCGUGUCAUGUUGUACCGGCCCAAUUUUUUUUUUUUUGAAUAUCAAUACUUAAUUUUUUUUUAUACUUUAUUGUUAAUAUUUUUUAUUAUUUGUACGUAAAAUAAAAAAUCUAUUAAAAAUCUAAAAUAUAAACUCGUAAAUCUAUAAAUAAACAUUAACACAUGAUGAACGUGCACGGUACCUCGGUCUAUAAAUUCCAUACGAAAACUCGAAACAACAUAGGCCCAAUAAAUUCAAGGAUAGUGUUAUGGAUAUUCCUACUGCAGCAUCCAUGUGGACCCUAGAAGAGAAGACACCAAGGGGAGUGACCCCUCCUACACACUUGGGGUGGACUCCACACACUUGGGGUGGGUUCUCACACACUCUCUUUAUAUCUCUCAUAGAAAUACAUUGGGGUGCACUUUGAGGUGUACCUACAACAGUAUUUUUUCCUAAAUUCAUCAACAUGUAGGUAACCACAUACAUGCGGCCGUCCCAAUUCACAUCAUUAAUGGCCAGCUAACUAUGAUGCAAAACCCCACUUACCCCGUCGGUCCUCCACUAUUUGAUUGCUCUUGACAGUCUUCACUAUUUGAUCUCUUGACAGGUCUUUUUAAGAUCUCUCUUUGGCUUUAAAGGUUGGAGUUGCUUGUUUGCUUUUGAGGGUUUUGAUUGAUGCUCUGUUUUCUAAUGUUUAAAAUUAAGAUUUUUUUAAGUGGAUAUAAAAAAGAAAGAGUAAUAAUUUUGUCUUUUUAUGAUUUUAUUUUGUUAAAAUUAAAUCAAAAAACAAACGUCAAAGAAUCAAAAAAUUAACUCUGAAUAUUGGUGCUUUCUCGGGUUUUUCUGUUGAGGUAGCACAAAAUUGAAAUAAAAUUGGGUGUCAACCGCAGUCGCCAUUUGUUUUGAUUAGAGUGGUCGAUUGAGAGAAAGAGUGGUGUUAAGAUGAUGGGUUCGAACCCGUGGUAUUAUCAGGGGUCCUUACGUGGCGCGCCCACAUCCACCCAUUUGGGAGUGAACUCCACUUAAAAAACAAUUAUCCUAUUCACUCUCAAAUGGAUGGAUGUAAGUGCACCACGGCGACGGAUUCGAGCCUAUCUUAACACCACUCUGGAGAGAACAGCCACCGCUACAGUGAUCAUUCAAGAAAAGAGUCUAUCUUUAACACCAAGAGAAUAGCCACUGCUGACAGUGAUCAUUCAAUCUUUUCUUGCUGCCACAGUGAGACAGCAUUAACUGAAUAGCCAUUACGGCCCAGCCGGGCAGUUUUCAAAUGGUUCUUAUCACACGCAGUCCACUCACUUCGAUCGUGCAAUUAUUAAAAAAGUGUUUUUCACACCCCGGUGUGGAUGUGACGUGUUUGGACAAAUAUACCCUUCUCUCACCCAUUAAUAUAAAAAAAAUUCAAUAUCAUAUCUUGUUUAUUUAUUAAAAAAAAUUAAUCAAAAUUUUGUGUUUUAAAUACAUAAUAAUUUAUUUAUUAAAUUUUUUUCAUACCCAUCUUCUUCUUUGAAUUUUUUGUGGUAAUUUUUUUUUUAAUACUCCCUUGAGUCUAUUUUUUUUUUAAUUUCACUUCUGAAUUUUCUAGCAACAAAUAUUAUGAAAAAUUGUAUAAUAUCUUAUACUUACUACUCGACGAAGCUUAUAUUUUUUAAUAAAAAAAAAUCGAAAUCAAAAUGUAAAUAUUUUUUUAAAAAUUUCUCUCAAUUAUAAUUUUUAUUGUUUAUAAUUGAGAUCAAUUUAAAAAAAUAUUAUAAUUUUGAUCCUAUUUUUUUCUUUUAUAAAAUAAUAAAAGAUUAGAAAUAUAAUAAUAAAAAAAUAUUUAUUAAAAACAAUAAAAAAUAAAAAAAUUUAAUAAAAGGAAACAAAACUAUUAAAAAAAAGAGGGGAGAAUACACCUAACCUCCUAGGUUUACUUUAUACACAAAGUACCCCUAACGUUUGAAAAUUACAGUGACUCCCCAAAGUUUGAAAUUAUCCUGACAUCCCAACCCCCCCUGACACCACUUUUCCUCCCUUGUCUCUUAUAAAUGAACCAAAUGCCCCCCUCUCUCAUCCAUCUCUCCGACUCCGCGCCCUAUCUCUCUCUCCUCACUCUCUUUUGCACCAUUUUCUUUUAUUUGAUUUUUAUUUUUUAUUCUACUUUUUUUUGUAAAAUUACCCUUUCCUUCAUAUUUUUUAAUAAAAAAAUAAAUUUUUUUUGUUACUUUUUUCAUUUUUUUUUGUACCCUUGUAUUUUAUUUUAGUAUUAUUAUAUUAUUUUUUCUUUUGAUACCCUUGAUUAAUUUUAUUGAACAAAAACUUUCCCUUUUUGUUAUUUUUUUGUUAUUUUUUUCUUUUGUACUCUUCUACUUUUUUUUAAUUUUUUAUUAUUUUUUAUUUUUGGUAAAUCCUAUUAAUUUAAUUUUAUUAUUUUAUUAAUACCUUUGAUUCUUUUUUCUUUUUUUUUUUAAUACUAUUUUGGGAGACAUUAUUUAUACAUUUCAAAAAUAAAUCGUAGGAUAUGAAAAAGAAAAAAAUCAAAUGGUAAUAAACACCGAAAAAAGAAUCAAAUGGUAUUACAAAGCAAACAAAACUUUAACCAUUACAAAUUACCCUCGUCUCCCCCACUAUCACACCCUUCUUUUUUGUUACCACCACUACUAAUCCAAGGGUAUUAAAAGACCUCAUCCUCAUCCUCCUCACUAAAUCAUAAACGCGUGCCCACCACGCCCCCCCUCCCACCCGUUCCCCCCCCGUUGCUUCUUUUUGUUACCCCCCUUCCUUCCCCCCUGGUAUUCCCGCCCCCCUCCUCAUAUUAAAACUAAAUAAAUAAUAAAUAUAAGUGUACAAAAGAAAAAAUAACAAAAUAACAAAAAAAAUAUUUUUUGGGUUAAAGAAAUUAAUCAAAGGGUAUUAAAAAAAAUAAUUAUAAAAUAAAAUAAAGGGUACAAAAAAAAAUAACAAAAAGAAUUCUUUUUUAUAAAAAUAUGAAUUAAAAGGGUAAUUAAAAAAAUUUAAUAAAAAAAAAUAAAAGGGUGCAAUGAGAGAGAUAGAGAGAGGGGGGAGAAGAGAGAGGGAUGGAUAGAGAGAGAGAGUGGGGCAUUUUAAGUCAUUUUUAAGGAUACCAGGGAGAAAAGUAGUGUUAGGGGUUGUCAGGAUAAUGUUUCAAAUUUCAGGGGAAGUCACUGUAAUUGUUCAACGUCCAUGGUAUUUUUUGUCUUAAAGACAAACCUCAGGGAAGGUCAGUGUAAUUCUCCCAAAAAAAUAAUGUUGAGGAGGGCGGGGAAGGGGGCUGG